GAAUGGGAUAGUGUAUAUGCACAUGUAAUUGUCGNUUACAAAGGUAUUCAUU
rnacentral:tRNA from 1 species